UACGUAGGUGGCAAGCGUUAUCCGGAAUUAUUGGGCGUAAAGAGGGAGCAGGCGGCAGCAAAGGUCUGUGGUGAAAGACUGAAGCUUAACUUCAGUAAGCCAUAGAAACCGGGCAGCUGGAGUGCAGGAGAGGAUCGUGGAAUUCCAUGUGUAGCGGUGAAAUGCGUAGAUAUAUGGAGGAACACCAGUGGCGAAGGCGACGAUCUGGCCUGCAACUGACGCUCAGUCCCGAAAGCGUGGGGAGCAAAUAGG
rnacentral:rRNA from 1 species